rnacentral:rRNA from 1 species
UCGUCAGCUCGUGUCGUGAGAUGUUGGGUUAAGUCCCGCAACGAGCGCAACCCUCGUCUUUAGUUGCCAUCAUUAAGUUGGGCACUCUAGAGAGACUGCCGUGGACAACACGGAGGAAGGUGGGGACGACGUCAAGUCAUCAUGCCCCUUACGUCUUGGGCUACACACGUCCUACAAUGCUACGGACAGAGGGCAGCAAGCUAGCGAUAGCAAGCAAAUCCCAUAAACCGUAGCUCAGUUCAGAUUGCAGGCUGCAACUCGCCUGCAUGAAGGCGGAAUCGCUAGUAAUCGCAGGUCAGCAUACUGCGGUGAAUACCGUUCCCGGGCCUU